rnacentral:rRNA from 1 species
CCUUAGUUACCAGCACGGUUAUGGUGGGGCACUCUAAGGAGACUGCCCGGUGACAAAACCCGGAGGAAGGUCGGGGAUGACGUCAAGUCAUCAUGGCCCUUACGGCCAGGGCUACACACGUGCUACAAUGGUCGGUACAGAGGGUUGCCAAGCCGCGAGGUGGAGCUAAUCCCAUAAAACCGAUCGUAGUCCGGAUUGGAGUCUGCAACUCGACUCCAUGAAGUCGGAAUCGCUAGUAAUCGUGGAUCAGAAUGCCACGGUGAAUACGUUCCCGGGCCUU